UACUAGAGUAGCACUCGCAUAUCAAUAAGCGGAGGAAAAGAAACUAACAAGGAUUCCCCUAGUAACGGCGAGUGAAGCGGGAAGAGCUCAAAUUUGAAAUCUUAAAGGGUUUCCCUUUACGAAUUGUAGUUUAAAGAAGUGUUUUCUGUUGAGGUUUUGGUAAAAGUUCUUUGGAAGUAGGACAUCAUAGAGGGUGAGAAUCCCGUAUUUGACCUUUACUUUCAACUUUGUGAUACACUUUCAAAGAGUCGGAUUGUUUGGGAAUGCAGUCCAAAAUGGGUGGUAAAUUUCAUCUAAAGCUAAAUAUUGGCGAUGAGACCGAUAGCGAACAAGUACCGUGAGGGAAAGAUGAAAAGAACUUUGAAAAGAGAGUUAAACAGUACGUGAAAUUGUCAAAAGGGAAGCGUUUGACACCAGUGUUGUUUUUCUGAAAAUCAAUUAAAGAACUGUUUAUGCUAAGUUGUUUAGACUUUAUCAGCUAUCUGUUUAGUUUUGAGCUUUUCUUUAAUGCACUUUUCAGUUAACAAGUCAACAUCAAUUUCUUUUGCUGUAAAAAAGCUUGAGGAAGGUGGCUUGAGAUUCGUCUUAAGUGUUUAUAGCCUCUUGCCUAUGCAGUCGGAGAGAUUGAGGUCUGCAGCGUAGAUCCUUCGGGGCUAAAUGCAUUUGUGCUAAGUUAUAGCAUUUUAUAGACAACUUGUUGACUAUGAUUUGUCUUGUAGCUUACUCGCUUAUGUUAUUUUACCUACGCUUAGGAUGUUGAGCGCAUGUCUCUCUCU
rnacentral:rRNA from 1 species